UCUCUCUCUCUGUGUGUUGAGCACCACUCUCAGUGCGUAGUGCGAACGUACCCUUGCCGCCGUGGACUUUGCCGUCGCCAUGGCCGAUCCGUCACUCACUAAAAAAUUCAAGAUCUCAUUGCCGUCACUUUCUUUCUCCGUCGCUGCCGGCUGAAAUUCAAGGAGCAUAUGCAGUACUGGAGUAGAUAAGCAAGCUUGCCAAGGUUCAGAAAAAGGUCUCUGAAGUUAAGAGUGUCAUGAUUUAGAAUAUUGAAAAGGCUGUAGAAACGUGAGAACUUUGUUUCAAUUAGAUAUGCAGUUUUAU